GACGAACGCUGGCGGCGUGCUUAACACAUGCAAGUCGAACGGAAAGGCCCUGCUUUUGUGGGGUGCUCGAGUGGCGAACGGGUGAGUAACACGUGAGUAACCUGCCCUUGACUUUGGGAUAACUUCAGGAAACUGGGGCUAAUACCGGAUAGGAGCUCCUGCUGCAUGGUGGGGGUUGGAAAGUUUCGGCGGUUGGGGAUGGACUCGCGGCUUAUCAGCUUGUUGGUGGGGUAGUGGCUUACCAAGGCUUUGACGGGUAGCCGGCCUGAGAGGGUGACCGGCCACAUUGGGACUAAGAUACGGCCCAGACUCCUACGGGAGGCAGCAGUGGGGAAUAUUGCACAAUGGGCGGAAGCCUGAUGCAGCAACGCCGCGUGCGGGAUGACGGCCUUCGGGUUGUAAACCGCUUUCGCCUGUGACGAAGCGUGAGUGACGGUAAUGAGUAAAGAAGCACCGGCUAACUACGUG
rnacentral:rRNA from 1 species